rnacentral:rRNA from 1 species
AUGAAGGAACUGGGCCUCCGGGAGGAGGACCUGGACGACGUGGUUUUUGAUGAGGCUGCGGCGCCAUCUGAGGCUGCUCGUUGGAUCGCUCUUGCUAGGGUUCAUUGCGCCAAAACCUAUAGCCAAUAUUGGUUUUUUAAGAACAUGAGAGCAGCAUGGGAUCUGGCACAAGAAGUAAAAUUCAAGCCGCUAGAAGACAAUCUGUACACCGUCCAAUUCUCCUGUCUAGGGGAUUGGGAG